AACUGUCGCUCGCGACGUAUGUUUGGGGAGUUAGGGGCUCGUGUACUCGUUACGUGGGUUUCUUCUCCUGUGAAUCCACAUACGAUAGGCUGAAAAUAAAUGAGGCCAGGUAUAACCGUGAGUGAAGAGUGAUUUGAUGCACCAUUAAGCCGGGAUGCCAACCUUCUUUAUGUUGACCGUCUGACUAGGUGUGCGUUACAUUC
rnacentral:snoRNA from 1 species